rnacentral:rRNA from 1 species
AGCGAACGCUGGCGGCAGGCCUAACACAUGCAAGUCGAACGGACCCUUCGGGGUUAGUGGCGGACGGGUGAGUAACACGUGGGAACGUGCCUUUAGGUUCGGAAUAGCUCCUGGAAACGGGUGGUAAUGCCGAAUGUGCCCUUCGGGGGAAAGAUUUAUCGCCUUUAGAGCGGCCCGCGUCUGAUUAGCUAGUUGGUGAGGUAACGGCUCACCAAGGCGACGAUCAGUAGCUGGUCUGAGAGGAUGACCAGCCACACUGGGGCUGAGACACGGCCCAGACUCCUGCGGGAGGCAGCAGUGGGGAAUCUUGCGCAAUGGGCGAAAGCCUGACGCAGCCAUGCCGCGUGAAUGAUGAAGGUCUUAGGAUUGUAAAAUUCUUUCACCGGGGACGAUAAUGACGGUACCCGGAGAAGAAGCCCGGCUAACUUCGUGCCAGCCGCCGCGGUAA